CAAGCGCAUCGUGCAGGAGGAGCCGUAUAAUUGUGACCAGCUGCUCGUUUUCCUUUCAUUUCCCUCCAAGGAAUAGCGCACGUCUGCUACAUGCGACGGGAGUUGACAGGAAUCGAGUGACCUUUGCAAGUGACAUUUAGUAUGCUGCUGAGGCAGCACGUGUCUUUCUUCAUAGCAGUAUUGUUUUCCUUACCUGCCAAACAAACAAGGGCAAACGAAAGGCGAACGCAGCCGGGGCUAUAGUUCGGCAAGAAGAGGGAUAGAAGCCAAAUUGGAGACCCCCCACCGCUGCUUUGCGAACGGCUUUACCUCUCUUGAGAAGCUGUGUACGCGCGCAUAUCCCGUACGCAGACAAACAACCGCCGCAGAGCCGGCGCUGGGUCCGGCGGCACACAUUGGGUUUUGUUGGAAGCGCUCUCUUUUCCGGUCAUCGCAGACGCGUGUGCAAGCGCGCAACACAAUGCGUGUCGGCAUCCGCGGCGCGCGUGACAACGGGAGUGUCCGCAUCGGCAGCCACGAAUGAAGCUCUGCGCAUGGCUUCACAACUUCGCCACGCAGCUGAGAUGGAGUUUAGGAACUCUUCAGUGCCGCCCCUAUGAGCAUGUGGUCGCGCCGACAUAACCUGCCUUCCGGCCUCUUCUCUUCUUUCUUUAUUAUAAAUGGGUUACUUUGGAGUGAGUGAGUGAGGUACAAAAAUCUCUGCAGCGAACGCCAGUAACUCGAUCGUAAGGUUCUCGACUGAAACAGACAGCGAAACGUUAAUGCUGCCUAAAAAUAUAACUUCACUUUGUUUCCACCUUACGUUGGCUCUAGUCCAAUCGAUGGAAAGCAGCACCACUGAUCUCUCCCUUUCUCUAUAAAACAUUGCCGGAUUUUUUUUUUUUUUUGCCAAGCUUCUAUAGUGAGAGCUGAUACGUUUCAACACUUCAGUGUACAGCGUAAUUCUACAUACAUAAUACAUGGAUGUGUACACA